GCCUAAAUAGCUCAGUUGGUAGAGCAAAGGAUUGAAGAUCCUUGUGUCCUUGGUUCGAUUCCAAGUUUGGGCA
rnacentral:tRNA from 1 species